CCACCAUAAUUCUGCCCGCCUUCGUGUAAGUAAACUAUCCUUGAACACGAUAUAAAACAGCAAGUGAAUAAAUUGUGCAUCUGAAAGUUGAAAUUUUUGACAUUUAUCUCAUGUUAACUGAAUUCAAAUUUCGGCAGCCAAAAAUAAGCUCUUAAAUGUUUUUUUAAAUUUUGAUGGCCGUGUGAAAUCAGCCGGUUUGCUGAUGAUUAUUAUUUGCCCAUUAUUGGUUGUGAUUUACAGAAGCCUACUUCAAAGCUGGAGGUCCUUGAUUUUGAUGAGGAAGGUUGUCGUUGCAGCCAUUGGAUGUUCCGAAAACUGAGCCAGUCGUUGACUUGCAGCAUUGGUGAAUUGGAGGCAGGAAAUAAUAAUCCAUUGAUAGGAUCAUCUUAGUGUCGAGAAGUGUGAAGAGAUGUGAGAAAAUCCAUCUUGGAAGACUUUACCGGAAGCCAAGGAUCCAUUGAAACUGGCGACACAUUUUGCUCUUGCAGUUUUCUGUAUGAAUUCUGACCAUUAAACUCUAAUUUGUUUUUACUGUGUACAAAG